rnacentral:rRNA from 1 species
ACCUCUGUAAAAAGAGUAGUCACACUUUUGUUGAUAUUGUUAAGAGGACGCUUGCAUACUGAGAUUGCCCGAGUCAUGUCAGCCAUUUUUUUACGUGUGCUAUCCCGGGUGGUCGGCCCAGCAAGGCUCGGGGGUAGAGAAAAUGUCCCUGGAAUUAUCUCCUCUCGGGGAGUGUUAUAGCCAGAGGUGUCAUGCAGCCCCCCCACCGGUAGGACCGCCGGUUGGGUAGGAUGCUGGCGCAAGGGUUGUAAACUCCCCCAGGGGAGACACGGACCAAGGAGUCUAACAUAUAUGGGAGUGUUUGGGGGUUAAACCCAUACGCGUGUGAAAGUGUUCGGAGGUGGGAACCUUCAAGGCGGCGCCAUCGACCGAUCCUGAUGUUUUUGGAUGGAUUUGAGUAAGAGCAUAGCUGUUGGGACCCGAAAGAUGGUGAAUUAUGCCUGAAUAGGGUGAAGCCAGAGGAAAUUUUGGUGGAGGCUCGCAGCGGUUCUGACGUGCAAAUCGAUCUUCAAAUUUGGGUACAGGGGCGAAAGACUAAUCGAACCAUCUUUUUGGUGAAACACACGGGCCGGUUGGGGCCCCGUAGUCCUCGCGUGGCGGGGGCGACAUCGUCAGUCUCUCCCCCUCCCCCUUCUUGCUACCCGCAGGAGCCUCGAGCUCAUCGGCGCCCCCAACGGUUCCCGUGCCCUGAGCACAGUUGGG